rnacentral:rRNA from 1 species
GAUGAACGCUGGCGGCGUGCUUAACACAUGCAAGUCGAACGGGAAACUUUUCAUUGAAGCUUCGGCAGAUUUGGUCUGUUUCUAGUGGCGGACGGGUGAGUAACGCGUGGGUAACCUGCCUUAUACAGGGGGAUAACAACCAGAAAUGGCUGCUAAUACCGCAUAAGCGCACAGGACCGCAUGGCCCGGUGUGAAAAACUCCGGUGGUAUAAGAUGGACCCGCGUUGGAUUAGCUAGUUGGCAGGGUAACGGCCUACCAAGGCGACGAUCCAUAGCCGGCCUGAGAGGGUGAACGGCCACGUUGGGACUGAGAUACGGCCCAGACUCCUACGGGAGGCAGCAGUGGGGAAUAUUGGGCAAUGGGGGAAACCCUGACCCAGCAACGCCGCGUGAAGGAAGAAGGCUUUCGGGUGUAAACUUCUUUUACCAGGGACGAAGGACGUGACGGUACCU